UACGUAGGGUGCGAGCGUUAAUCGGAAUUACUGGGCGUAAAGCGUGCGCAGGCGGUUUUGUAAGUCAGGCGUGAAAUCCCCGGGCUUAACCUGGGAAUGGCACUUGAAACUACGGGACUGGAGUAUGGCAGAGGGAGGUGGAAUUCCACGUGUAGCGGUGAAAUGCGUAGAGAUGUGGAGGAACACCGAUGGCGAAGGCAGCCUCCUGGGCCAAUACUGACGCUCAUGCACGAAAGCGUGGGGAGCAAACAGG
rnacentral:rRNA from 1 species